rnacentral:rRNA from 1 species
CGCUGGCGGCGUGCCUAAUACAUGCAAGUCGAACGGUCUUUCUAUGGAAGCUUGCUUCCACUGAGAAGAUAGUGGCGAACGGGUGAGUAACACGUGGGUAACCUGCCCAUAAGAGGGGGAUAACAUCCGGAAACGGGUGCUAAUACCGCAUAGUUUUCUUGAUCGCAUGAUCGGGAAAGGAAAGACGGCCUUUGUGCUGUCGCUUAUGGAUGGACCCGCGGCGUAUUAGUUAGUUGGUGAGGUAAUGGCUCACCAAGACGAUGAUACGUAGCCGACCUGAGAGGGUGAUCGGCCACAUUGGGACUGAGACACGGCCCAAACUCCUACGGGAGGCAGCAGUAGGGAAUCUUCCGCAAUGGACGAAAGUCUGACGGAGCAACGCCGCGUGAGUGAAGAAGGUUUUUCCGGAUCGUAAAACUCUGUUGUCAGAGAAGAACAAGUUGGAGAGUAACUGCUCCAGCCUUGACGGUAUCUGACCAGAAAGCCACGGCUAACUACGUGCCAGCCGCUGC